GCUACAGACCGGGCCGUCGAUCCUUCGCUUCGGCAAGGGUAGGAAAGUCCGGACAGCACAGUGCCAUGCACCGGUCAAUAGCCGGGCUUCGGGCAACCGAAGACAGAGAGUGCCACAGAAAAUAACUGCCUUUAACUUGUUAAAGGUGAGGAUGAAAACGUGGGGUAAGAGCCCACGGCCCCGGCUGGUAACAGCCCGGGCGGGUAAACCUUGCAUGCUGAAAUGCCACGUAUAGUAACCUUCGAGGGCGGCACGCUCGAGUUUGCUUCGGCAAACGGGUUACAGGGUAGGCAGCUUGAGCUCCUUGGGUAACUUUGGAGACAGAUAAAUGACGCCCUCGACAGAAUCCGGCUUACAGGUCUGUAGCAUUU
rnacentral:RNase_P_RNA from 1 species